AACGAACGCUGGCGGCAUGCCUAACACAUGCAAGUCGAACGAGACCUUCGGGUCUAGUGGCGCACGGGUGCGUAACGCGUGGGAACCUGCCCUUAGGUUCGGAAUAACUCCCCGAAAGGGGUGCUAAUACCGGAUAAUGUCUUCGGACCAAAGAUUUAUCGCCUUUGGAUGGGCCCGCGUUGGAUUAGCUAGUUGGUAGGGUAAAAGCCUACCAAGGCGACGAUCCAUAGCUGGGUUGAGAGGAUGAUCAGCCACACUGGGACUGAGACACGGCCCAGACUCCUGCGGGAGGGAGCAGUGGGGAAUAUUGGACUAUGGGCGAGAGCCUGAUCCAGCUAUGCCGGGUGAGUGAUGAAGGCGUUAGGGUAGUAAAGCUCUUUUACCCGGGGUGAUAAUGACAGUACCGGGAGAAUAAGCACCGGCUAACUCCGUG
rnacentral:rRNA from 1 species